AUGUCUAACCACAUACAUUCCAAGAACUUCCCCCCUUCCCAUUUUCCCGGGCUCAAGAAUGUGGCAGCCUGGAAGCGUCUGGUCUCAAUAUGGCUUCCAAAGCUGACACGAGGACUGAGGUUGCAAUGGUCCUUUAGCCCUCCUUUCUGUUUUUCUCCUUCAAAUAACAGCCUUCACAUCCUCGGAAUCAGAUGGACGAGGCCUCCCCGCCUACCCAAAGCAAUUCUCCCCCUCUGCGAUCUCCUCUCUCGCCCCGUGCAAUGUUUAACGUUCCCGGGCCGGGAGCCACGAAACCCAGAGCCAGGUACCCUUCUGGACCUCUCCUCUUUUCAGCCCGUGAGGCGCGAAAAUGCGCUUCAUCUGUUUGCAACGGAGCAUUUAAGUACCGUCUCCGCCACUCGGCGGAGAAUGCUUGAAGCUCCUUGGGUGGGGACAAAAGGGCCAGCCAUAUGCGCUGUUCGUUCUCCUCGUAGGAAUCUGUCCCUGAGUACUUUUGCCAUCCUCAACUCUGCUAAGCAAGCCACCGAGGCCAUGAAGGCAAAGCGCGCCAAGAGCAUGGGGACCGGGUUGGAGUAUCUGCAGAGCAGACAAAACUAUAAAGCUUCCUUUUGCAGUCUGAGCCACCUGUCUUCCGUUGCCAACAGACCCUUGGAAGGCCGCGCGGUCAGUACUCCUGAACAGUCCAUUAACGACGUGACCUUCGGAGCCGGAGUCAGCCAAAUUAGCCUGAACCUCACAGGAUCUUCUUCUAAAGGCAGGUGGAACCCCAAUUUCGUUCUCGCCUUUCUUUUUUUUGAAAAACUAAGCGUGGGCAAGGCAACUCGCUCUAAUACCCCUUCCGUUCCUCCUGCAGUCAAAGAGGAACCAGAAGCUUCACAGAAGCAGAUCCUUUGCUUGACCUCCCCGGAUAAACUGCUGCCCCAGCCUCCACCAUGGAGGGUGAAUUCUCCAAGAAGCAGCAGUCUGCGGAGAUCUAGCCGUAAAACAUCCCAACAGCCAACGAAAUGA
rnacentral:lncRNA from 1 species